AACCAUAUCCCGUUCAAACACCAAUUCUCGUACGAUAACCGAAGUUAAGCAACGCCGAGGCUGGUCAGUACUUAGAUAGGUGAAUGCUUGAGAAUACCAGGUGUUGUAAG